rnacentral:rRNA from 1 species
UACGUAGGGUCCGAGCGUUGUCCGGAAUUAUUGGGCGUAAAGAGCUCGUAGGCGGUCUGUCACGUCUGCUGUGAAAACUCGGGGCUUAACCCCGGGCCUGCAGUGGGUACGGGCAGACUAGAGUGCGGUAGGGGAGACUGGAAUUCCUGGUGUAGCGGUGAGAUGCGUAGAUAUCAGGAGGAACACCGGUGGGGAAGGCGGGUCUCUGGGCCGUAACUGACGCUGAGGAGCGAAAGCGUGGGGAGCGAACAGG